CCUACGGAAGGCAGCAGUGGGGGAUAUUGCACAAUGGGGGGAACGCUGAUGCAGCGACGCCGCGUGGGUGAAGAAGCGCCUCGGGUCGGUAAGCCCUGUCAGCAGGGAAGAAAAUGACGGUACCUGAAGAAGAAGCCCCGGCUAACUACGUGCCAGCAGCCGCGGUAAUACGGAGGGGGCAAGCGUUAUCCGGAUUUACUGGGUGUAAAGGGGGCGCAGACGGCGAUGCAAGCCAGGAGUGAAAGCCCGGGGCCCAACCCCGGGACUGCUCUUGGAACUGGGUGGCUGGAGUGCAGGAGGGGCAGGCGGAAUGCCUGGUGUAGCGGUGAAAUGCGUAGAUAUCAGGAGGAACACCGGUGGCGAAGGCGGCCUGCUGGGCUGUAACUGACGUUGAGGCCCGAAAGCGUGGGGAGCAGACAGGAUUAGAUACCCUUGUAGUC
rnacentral:rRNA from 1 species